rnacentral:rRNA from 1 species
UACGUAGGGAGCGAGCGUUGUCCGGAAUCAUUGGGCGUAAAGAGCAUGUAGGUGGAUCAAUUAGUCUGCUGUGAAAGUCAAAGGCUCAACCUUUGAAAGCCGGUGGAUACUGUUGAUCUAGAGUACGGAAGAGGCGAGUGGAAUUCCUGGUGUAGCGGUGGAAUGCGCAGAUAUCAGGAGGAACACCAAUAGCGAAGGCAGCUCGCUGGGACGUUAACUGACACUGAGAUGCGAAAGCGUGGGGAGCAAACAGG